rnacentral:lncRNA from 1 species
GUUAAGGUUAGGUUUAGUGAUAGAUUUAGGGUUAGGGUUAGGUUUAGGGUUAAGGUAAGGGUUAGAGUUAGUGUUAGGGUUAAGUUUAGGGUUAAUGUUUGGCUUAGAGUUAGGUUUAGGUUUAGGGUUUGUGUUAGGAUUAGGGUUACAUUUAGUAUUAGGGUUAGGGUUAGGCUUAGGUUUAGAUGUAGUGUAAGUGUUAUGGCUAUGGUGAGGGUUAGGGUUAGUGUUAGGGUUAAAUUUAGGGUUAGGUUUAGGUUUAAAUUAGGGUUAGCAUUUCUCUUAGGGUUAGAGUUAUGCAUAAAAUUGGGUUUAGUGUUAGGGUUUUGUUUAGGAUUAGGUUAGGGUUAGGAUUAGGGUUAGUGUUAGCAUUAGUGUUAUAUUUAGUUUUAGGGUUACGAUUAGUGUUAGUGUUAGCUUUAGUGUUAGUGUUUGUGUUAGUGUUAAGGUUAGGGUUGUGUUAGGUUUAUUGUUAGGGUUACAUUUAGAGUUAGUGUUAGGUUAAGUGUUAGGUUUAGGGUUAGGUAUAGUGUUAUGGGUUGUGUUAAGUUAGGGUUAGAAUAAGGGUUGUUUUUAAAAUCAGGGUUAAGUUUAUUUUUAGUGUUAAUGUUAGGGUUAGGGUUAUGGUUAGUGUUAAGGGUAGUGUUAGUGUUAGUUAUAAGGUUAGGGUUAGAAUUAGUGUUAGGGUUAGGAUUAGGGUUAAUUUUAGUGUUAGGUUUAGGAUUAGGGUUAGUGUUAGUGUUAGGUUUUGUGUUAAUAUAAGGGUUAUGGAUAGGUUUAGCUUUAGGGUUACCAUUAGGAUUACGGUUAUGUUUAGGUUUAGGGUUUUUGUUAGGUUUAGGGUUAGGGUUAGGCAAAGGGUUAGUGUUAGGUUUAGGGUAAAUGUUAAUGUUAGGGUUAACAUUAAGUUUAGAUUUAGGGUUAUUGUUACGGUUUGGUUAGAGAUAGGGUUAGGAUUAGUGUUAGGUUUAGGAUUGUAGUUUCGGAAAGGAUUAGUGUUAGGGUUAGGUUUAGUUUUAGGUUUAGGGUUAACAUGUGGUUAGGUUUAGG